rnacentral:pre_miRNA from 1 species
UGCCAAACGAAAAACCAAUCCUGUCAGUGGACAAAAGCGACCUAAACCGGACAAUAAAAUACUGUAAGGUUUAGGUUGCUUCUGUCCACUGGCGGGGUUGUUUUUCACUUUGGCA